rnacentral:rRNA from 1 species
GUAACAUUGUGCUUGCACAGAUGACGACCGGCGCACGGGUGCGUAACGCGUAUAGAACCUACCUUUUACAGAGGAAUAGCCUUUAGAAAUGAAGAUUAAUGCCUCAUAGUAUUGUAGACUGGCAUCAGUUUAUAAUUAAAGAUUUAUCGGUAAAAGAUGGCUAUGCGUCCUAUUAGUUAGUUGGUAAGGUAACGGCUUACCAAGACAGCGAUAGGUAGGGGUCCUGAGAGGGAGAUCCCCCACACUGGUACUGAGACACGGACCAGACUCCUACGGGAGGCAGCAGUGAGGAAUAUUGGACAAUGGAGGAGACUCUGAUCCAGCGAUGCCGCGUGUAGGAAGAAUGCCCUAUGGGUUGUAAACUACUUUUAUACAGGAAGAAACACUGGUAUGUAUACCAGCUUGACGGUACUGUAAGAAUAAGGACCGGCUAACUCCGUGCCAGCAGCCGCGGUAAUACGGAGGGUCCGAGCGUUAUCCGGAAUCAUUGGGUUUAAAGGGUCCGCAGGCGGUCGAUUAAGUCAGAGGUGAAAUCCCAUAGCUCAACUAUGGAACUGCCUUUGAUACUGGUUGACUUGAGUCAUAUGGAAGUAGAUAGAAUGUGUAGUGUAGCGGUGAAAUGCAUAGAUAUUACACAGAAUACCGAUUGCGAAGGCAGUCUACUACGUAUGUACUGACGCUGAGGGACGAAAGCGUGGGGAGCGAACAGGAUUAGAUACCCUGGUAGUCCACGCCGUAAACGAUGGAUACUAGUUGUUGGGAUUUAUCUCAGUGACUAAGCGAAAGUGAUAAGUUCCCACUGG